rnacentral:tRNA from 1 species
GCGGGAGUGCCGGAGCGGUCAAACGGGCUGCCAUGAGGUGGCAGUAGCUUAGUGCUUACGCAGGUUCGAAUCCUACCUCCCGCA